GACGAACGCUGGCGGCAUGCUUAACACAUGCAAGUCGAACGGAAAGGCCCUGCCUUUGUGGGCUGCUCGAGUGGCGAACUGGUGAGUAACACGUGAGUAACCUGUCAUUGACUGAGGGAUAACCUCAGGAAACUGGGGCUCAUACCGGAUAGGAUCUACCGCUGUAUGGUGGGGGUGAGAAAGUUUCGGCGGUUGGGGAUGGACUAGCGGCUUAUCAGCUUGUUGGUGGGGUAGUGGCGUACCAAGGCUUUGACGGGUCGCAGGCCUGGGAGGGGAGCCGGACCCAUUGGAACUGAGAUACGGCACAGACUCGACUGGGAGGCAGCGGAGGAGAAUAUUGCACAAUAGGCGGGAGCAUAGUGCAACAACGCCGCGUGCGGGAAGUCAGCCAUCGCGUUGUAAACCGCUUUCGCCUUUGACGAGGCGUGAGUGACAGUAAUGGGAGAAAAAGCACCGGCUAACUACGUG
rnacentral:rRNA from 1 species